GACGUAGGGCGCGAGCGUUGUCCGGAAUUAUUGGGCGUAAAGGGCUCGUAGGCGGUCCGUCACGUCGGGAGUGAAAACUCAGGGCUCAACCCUGAGCGUGCUUCCGAUACGGGCGGACUAGAGGUAUGCAGGGGAGAACGGAAUUCCUGGUGUAGCGGUGGAAUGCGCAGAUAUCAGGAGGAACACCGGUGGCGAAGGCGGUUCUCUGGGCAUUACCUGACGCUGAGGAGCGAAAGCAUGGGGAGCGAACAGG
rnacentral:rRNA from 1 species